UACGUAGGGGGCAAGCGUUGUCCGAUUUAUUGGGCGUAAAGAGCGUGUAGGCGGCCAGGUAGGUCAGCUGUGAAAACUCGAGGCUCAACCUCGAGAUGUCGGCUGAAACCAUCUGGCUAGAGUCCGGAAGAGGAGAAUGGAAUUCCCGGUGUAGCGGUGAAAUGCGCAGAUAUCGGGAAGAACACCCGUGGCGAAGGCGGUUCUCUGGGACGGUACUGACGCUGAGACGCGAAAGCGUGGGGAGCGAACAGG
rnacentral:rRNA from 1 species